GGAUGAACGCUGGCGGUCUGCUUAACACAUGCAAGUCGAACGCAACCUUCGGGUUGAGUGGCGGACGGGUGAGUAACGCGUGAGAAUCUGCCUUGGGGUCGGGGACAACCACUGGAAACGGUGGCUAAUACCGGAUAAGCCUUUGGGUAAAAGAUUUAUUGCCCCAAGAGGAGCUCGCGUCUGAUUAGCUAGUUGGUGAGGUAAAAGCUCACCAAGGCAGCGAUCAGUAGCUGGUCUGAGAGGACGAUCAGCCACACUGGGACUGAGACACGGCCCAGACUCCUACGGGAGGCAGCAGUGGGGAAUUUUCCGCAAUGGGCGAAAGCCUGACGGAGCAAGACCGCGUGAGGGAGGAAGGCUCUUGGGUUGUAAACCUCUUUUCUCAGGGAAGAAGCUCUGACGGUACCUGAGGAAUCAGCCUCGGCUAACUCCGUGCCAGCAGCCGCGGUAAUACGGAGGAGGCAAGCGUUAUCCGGAAUUAUUGGGCGUAAAGCGUCCGCAGGUGGCGAUUCAAGUCUGCUGUCAAAGCACGGGGCUUAACUCCGUUAAGGCAGUGGAAACUGAAUAGCUAGAGUGCCGUAGGGGUAGAGGGAAUUCCCGGUGUAGCGGUGAAAUGCGUAGAGAUCGGGAAGAACAUCGGUGGCGAAAGCGCUCUACUGGACGGCAACUGACACUCAGGGACGAAAGCUAGGGGAGCGAAUGGGAUUAGAUACCCCAGUAGUCCUAGCUGUAAACGAUGGAUACUAGGUGUAGCUUGUAUCGACCCGAGCUGUGCCGAAGCUAACGCGUNUAGUAUCCCGCCUGGGGAGU
rnacentral:rRNA from 1 species